GGAAGGCUCAGCAGCCAAUGUAGAUCCUGUCUUUUGUAAUCAGUAGCUACAUCUGGCUACUGGGUCUCAA
rnacentral:pre_miRNA from 13 species